CCCUAGAUGUUCUGGGCCGCACGCGCGCUACACUGACGGAGCCAGCGAGUAAUUCCUUGGCCGGAAGGCCCGGGUAAUCUUGUUAAACUCCGUCGUGCUGGGGAUAGAGCAUUGCAAUUAUUGCUCUUCAACGAGGAAUCCCUAGUAAGCGCAAGUCAUCAGCUUGCGUUGAUUACGUCCCUGCCCUUUGUACACACCGCCCGUCGCUACUACCGAUUGAAUGGCUCAGUGAGGCGUCCGGACUGGCCCAGGGAGGUGGGCAACUACCACCCAGGGCCGGAAAGCUCUCCAAACUCGGUCAUUUAGAGGAAGUAAAAGUCGUAACAAGGUCUCCGUAGGUGAACCUGCG
rnacentral:rRNA from 1 species